GGGCCCGUAGCUCAGCCAGGAAGAGUAUAUUGGGGUGAUACCCCAAUAUAUUCAACGACGGGCUUUUAACCCGGAGGUCCCGGGUUCGAAUCCCGGCGGGCCCGCCA
rnacentral:tRNA from 1 species